GACGAACGCUGGCGGCAGGCUUAACACAUGCAAGUCGAGCGGGCGUAGCAAUACGUCAGCGGCAGACGGGUGAGUAACGCGUGGGUAACAUACCUUUUGGUUCGGAACAACACAGGGAAACUUGUGCUAAUACCGGAUAAGCCCUUACGGGAAAGAUUAUCGCCGAAAGAUUGGCCCGCGUCUGAUUAGCUAGCUGGUGAGGUAACGGCUCACCAAGGCGACGAUCAGUAGCUGGUCUGAGAGGAUGAUCAGCCACAUUGGGACUGAGACACGGCCCAGACUCCUACGGGAGGCAGCAGUGGGGAAUAUUGCACAAUGGGCGCAAGCCUGAUGCAGCGACGCCGCGUGAGGGAUGACGGCCU
rnacentral:rRNA from 1 species